AGCAUUUGUGUGCAUCUUUGUUCCAGUGAUAGGUAAAGGAAGGAAAGACAGACNCAAAAAGAAUCAAUCCUCUUUUGCAACCCAGAGUUCAUUGUUUAGCAGAGUUUUGAAACGUAGAAGAAGGAAUAUG
rnacentral:snoRNA from 1 species